GAAGAACUCUUCGAGAGGUUCAGCUUUGCAAGCUACUCCACUUGUUGCUGACACGGUCCUUCAAACGCUGUCUAAAGAUUUAACAUUUCUACACAACCGUGUUAGUAUGUUGCCUAGUGACACUCCCAUUCAAGUUCCACUACCUAAGGCAAUGUUCCACUUUGAUGAGGAUGCAGUUGCAUGGCUUAGCAAAGAAGAUGUGAAAGAAUUUCUAAGUGGUUCAAUGCUUAACAUCUCCCUCGUUCAAACAUUCAUGAGAGCACUACAGGAGCACUUACUUGAGAUUGAUUCUCCGUGUCAAGUAGGGUGGUUAUGCCCCGAGCAAAUCUCCACUACUAGAAUCUUAGGCAACUACCCUGACGUGUUGUACUAUGUUAAACGGGGUAUCAAGGAAUCAUUGCGUGCGGGUGACAAGUUCAUAUUCGCCCCAUGUUUUGAGGAGUACGUUUGACCAUGUCAAAUUCAUUUGUUUCCCCUAAUUAUAUGUUGUACACGGCUAAUUAUUGACUUGUUUGUGUAUUUUCCAUUUCUGUAGUGCACAUUGGACCUUGCUGGUGAUUUGUGUUCCCAGUAACACCAUCUUCCUUUUUGAUUCAGCUCGAUUGCCUCAUCCGAAAAAGCUCCUCGUGAAGUCUAUACUGCGAAAUGCUAUGAAGAAGAUAAAUUGCCGAGCUCCUCAAGGUCCU